GACGAACGCUGGCGGCGUGCUUAACACAUGCAAGUCGAACGGAAAGGCCCCUUCGGGGGUCCUCGAGUGGCGAACAGGGGAGUAACACGUGAGUAACCUGCCCUUGACUUCGGGAUAACUUCAGGAAACUGGGGCUAAUACCGGAUAGGAAUCCUUGCUGCAUGGUGGGGGUUGGAAAGCUUCGGCGGUUUUGGAUGGACUCGCGGCUUAUCAGCUUGUUGGUGGGGUAGUGGCUUACCAAGGCUUUGACGGGUAGCCGGCCUGAGAGGGCGACCGGCCACAUUGGGACUGAGAUACGGCCCAGACUCCUACGGGAGGCAGCAGUGGGGAAUAUUGCACAAUGGGCGGAAGCCUGAUGCAGCAACGCCGCGUGCGGGAUGACGGCCUUCGGGUUGUAAACCGCUUUCAGCAGGGGCGAAGCUUGUGGUGACGGUACCUGCAGAAGAAGCACCGGCUAACUACGUG
rnacentral:rRNA from 1 species